rfam:Dipodomys ordii contig_6209, whole genome shotgun sequence.
GGGAUGAUGGCUCAGUGGUAGAGCACUUGCCUUGCAUGCAUGAGGCCCUGGGUUCGAUUCCCCAGCACCACA